UAAGCAUAUCAAUAAGCGGAGGAAAAGAAACCAACAGGGAUUGCCUCAGUAACGGCGAGUGAAGCGGCAACAGCUCAAAUUUGAAAUCUGGCCCUAGGCCCGAGUUGUAAUUUGCAGAGGAUGCUUUUGGUGAGGUGCCUUCCAAGUUCCCUAGAACGGGACGCCAGAGAGGGUGAGAGCCCCGUACAGUUGGACACCAAGCCUUUGUAAAGCUCCUUCGACGAGUCGAGUAGUUUGGGAAUGCUGCUCAAAAUGGGAGGUAUAUUUCUUCUAAAGCUAAAUACCGGCCAGAGACCGAUAGCGCACAAGUAGAGUGAUCGAAAGAUGAAAAGCACUUUGAAAAGAGGGUUAAACAGCACGUGAAAUUGUUAAAAGGGAAGCGCUUGUGACCAGACUUGCGUCCGGUGAAUCACCCAGCUCUCGCGGCUGGGGCACUUCGCCGGCUCAGGCCAGCAUCAGCUCGCUGUCGGGGACAAAAGCUUCAGGAACGUAGCUCUCUUCGGGGAGUGUUAUAGCCUGUUGCAUAAUACCCUUCGGCGGGCUGAGGUACGCGCUCCGCAAGGAUGCUGGCAUAAUGGUCAUCAGCGACCCGUCUUGGAAAACACGG
rnacentral:rRNA from 1 species